rnacentral:rRNA from 1 species
AGUGAACGGCGGCCGUAACUAUAACGGUCCUAAGGUAGCGAAAUUCCUUGUCAGGUAAGUUCUGACCCGCACGAAAGGUGUAAUGAUCUGGAUACUGUCUCAACCAUAGACUCGGUGAAAUCUUAAUACCUGUGAAAAUGCAGGUUACCCGCAUCAGGACGGAAAGACCCCAUGGAGCUUUACUGUAGCUUGAUAUUGAAGUUCGGUACAUUAUGUAGAGGAUAGGUGGGAGACUAUGAUACUAAGACGCCAGUCUUAGAGGAGUCAACCUUGGAAUACCACCCUUAGUAUAUUGGAUUUCUAACCUCGGUCCAUUAUCUGGAUCAGGGACAGUGUCUGGUGGGCAGUUUGACUGGGGCGGUCGCCUCCCAAAAAGUAACGGAGGCGCCCAAAGGUUCCCUCAGAAUGGUUGGAAAUCAUUCAUAGAGCGUAAAGGUAUAAGGGAGCUUAACUGCGAGACCAACAAGUCGAGCAGAUACGAAAGUAGGGCUUAGUGAUCAGACGAUACAGAAUGGAAUGGUCGUCGCUUAACGGAUAAAAGUUACCCUGGGGAUAACAGGCUGAUACCACCCAAUAGUUCACAUAGACGGUGGUGUUUGGCACCUCGAUGUCGGCUCGUCACAUCCUGGAGGUGAAGUCGCUUCCAAGGGUUGGGCUGUUCGCCCAUUAAAGUGGCACGCGAGCUGGGUUCAGAACGUCGUGAGACAGUUCGGUCCCUAUCCGAUGUGGGCGUAGGAAAAUUGAAGAGAGCUAUCCUUAGUACGAGAGGACCGGGAUGGACAAACCUCUGGUGUAUCUGUUGUAGUGCCAACUGCAGUGCAGAGUAGCUAUGUUUGGAGAGGAUAACCGCUGAAAGCAUCUAAGCGGGAAGCCAACUUUGAGAUAAGUUUUCCCAUACGAAAGUAGUAAGAUCCCAAAAAGACGAUUUGGUAGAUAGGCUGGAGAUGGAAGAAUGGUGACAUUUUGAGUUGACCAGUACUAAUAGAUCGAGGAUUUAAUCAU